CCACAACCCAAAUUAUCGACAGUGAUUUAUAAUUGCUACCUUGGACGUGUUCGUGGUUCAAUCAACCGUAUAUGUGCUUUUUUGAACAAUCAAACAUUAACACAAAACAUGAACGAAACAUUAGAUAAGUAUGAGAGUUUAACACAUGCGUAUCCAAAUGGCGUGUUGGAAGAAUAUGUGAAAUACAACGACAUCGUUUCUGAAGACGAUCUAGCAGUUACAGGAGCUUUGGAACAAAUAGAACAACUAUCAAUGAAAGAGGAGCCAGAAUUCAAAUUCCAGUGAUCGAGGUGGUGCUGUUAUUGAGACAUUACAACCGUGAGGAUGAGGAAAGGGUUUCGAAUUUUUUAAGAGACUUAUUUGCAAAUGCAAUUCAACAGAGUACUUUGCAAGAAGAAGCUU